rnacentral:rRNA from 1 species
UACGAAGGGUGCAAGCGUUACUCGGAAUUACUGGGCGUAAAGGUGCGUAGGUGGUUGUUUAAGUCUGUUGUGAAAGCCCCGGGCUCAACCUGGGAAUGGCAAUGGAUACUGGACAGCUAGAGUGCGGUAGAGGGUAGUGGAAUUCCACGUGUAGCAGUGAAAUGCGUAGAGAUGUGGAGGAACACCGAUGGCGAAGGCAGCCCCCUGGGCUAACACUGACGCUCAUGCACGAAAGCGUGGGAGCGAACAGG